AACGACUCUUGACAACGGAUAUCUCGGCUCUCGCAUCGAUGAAGAACGUAGCGAAAUGCGAUACUUGGUGUGAAUUGCAGAAUCCCGUGAACCAUCGAGUCUUUGAACGCAAGUUGCGCCCGAAGCCACUAGGUCGAGGGCACGCCUGCCUGGGUGUCAUGC
rnacentral:rRNA from 1 species